CCGGGCAAGAGGACACGUGCUGUGCAUCAGAGACAGACUCCCAUGUCAGCAGUAUGGUACAUUCCAUGCUGGGGAAUCCCCAUUGGGAUUUCCACUUCAUGCUACCUGGAGAAUGAGGCUCUUCAGAGGACACUGGUAGCAUGUCCCAAAUUGGUUUUCAGACUGUGGAUGGGCAAACUCAAAUCCAGUGUUACUGUUGAAGGAAAUGAUUUGGGAACCACGUGGGAGCACCAUUCCCUUAUUUUUGGAGAAUAAAUCUUACAAGGAGUGACUGAGGGAGCUGAGGAUGUUUAGUUUGAAAAAGAGGAGGCUGAGGGAAGACCUCAUCGCUGUCUACAGCUGCCUGAAAGGAUGUUGUGGAGAGGCUACUGCUGCUUUCUUCUCACAGGUUACCUUUAAUACAAACCCACUCAAAUAUGGCAUUGGCUUCACGUGGAGAUUUCUUUCUACAACAAAAACGCCCCUCAGGAGAAGCACCUCAGGUGCACAGUGUAGAGUAUGUGGUUCAUGCUGCCUGAAUUGCUGUUGUGCUGGAGACCUCAUAG